rfam:Tupaia chinensis contig213770, whole genome shotgun sequence.
GUAGGUUUUUGCUCAUGCACCAUGGUUGUCUGAGCAUGCAGUGUGUUUGUCUGCUCAUUCCCCAUGGUUCCCGAGCAGGAACCUUU